rnacentral:rRNA from 1 species
CACGUGGGAACGUGCCUUUAGGUUCGGAAUAACUCAGGGAAACUUGUGCUAAUACCGGAUGUGCCCUUCGGGGGAAAGAUUUAUCGCCUUUAGAGCGGCCCGCGUCUGAUUAGCUAGUUGGUGAGGUAAUGGCUCACCAAGGCUACGAUCAGUAGCUGGUCUGAGAGGAUGACCAGCCACAUUGGGACUGAGACACGGCCCAGACUCCUACGGGAGGCAGCAGUGGGGAAUAUUGGACAAUGGGCGAAAGCCUGAUCCAGCAAUGCCGCGUGAGUGAUGAAGGCCCUAGGGUUGUAAAGCUCUUUUACCCGGGAAGAUAAUGACUGUACCGGGAGAAUAAGCCCCGGCUAACUCCGUGCCAGCAGCCGCGGUAAUACGGAGGGGGCUAGCGUUGUUCGGAAUUACUGGGCGUAAAGCGCACGUAGGCGGCUAUUCAAGUCAGAGGUGAAAGCCCGGAGCUCAACUUCGGAAUUGCCUUUGAAACUAGAUAGCUUGAACACGGGAGAGGUGAGUGGAAUUCCGAGUGUAGAGGUGAAAUUCGUAGAUAUUCGGAAGAACACCAGUGGCGAA